rnacentral:sRNA from 1 species
UUCGAAAUCAAAUUAUCAUAAAAAUUCUACCUUGGAGUAAAAUUAUUCACGGUAAUAAAACUGAUAUUCUCGUAGUUGGGUGGUGGGACAAUAGAUAAAAACAACGGUUUUGGCGAGUUCGGGUUACUGUCAAAACAAAAAUUAAUGAAAAAUGGAUUAAUAAGCGGAAACAGACAUCCCUGGAGAUGUGCCAUUGUAAUACGACCCUGGUCUGGAGCCAAAAACGUCGCAGACCAAUGUAACUCACUUGAAUGUCCGAUCUUUAAAUCUACUCUAAUUUUGGGUAAAAACUAAAUUUGAAAAAAAAACCCUAAGGAGGAAAUGCCAACAAACCCCAAAUUCUCCAAAGCUUUGCCAUUCCCAUUCGUCUAGCGGCGCAUCUCCGAGCCCGCCAUGGCUCUGUUAGAUGGGUCUCCACGAAAGAGGCCGGUUAAUCUUGAGAAAUCGAAAAAUAUUGGCAACCUUUCCUUUUCAGGUAAUUUCAUUUCAGGCAACCUCUUUCUUUUCAUACAGUUUUUAUGUGGGCAAUAUCUGGCGGCUGAUGAAGAUUUUUUAUCUGGAUCUGGAGGCGGCUCUUUUUAAUGUAAAAGGUCAAACAAUGCAGAUCGUGGCCGAACUCUGAGUGGAAUCCUGUACCCAAUGUAGCAACCUCUUUCUUUUCAUACAGUUUUUAUGUGGACAAUAUCUGGCGGCUGAUGAAGAUUUUUUAUCUGGAUCUGGAGGCGGCUCUUUUUAAUGUAAAAGGUCAAACAAUGCAGAUCGUGGCCGAACUCUGAGUGGAAUCCUGUACCCAAUGUAGCAACCUCUUUCUUUUCAGGUAAUUUCAUUUCAGGCAACCUCUCUCUGGGGUAUGUUCAGUGGGUUAGCGAGAGCUAAAAUGGCCGCCCUGUACAUCUGCAUUUUAAUGGCUAUAUUCCUUGAUAUGUAGUAAACUAAAUGUAGCUGAAGCCAUUUAUAUGUGUUUUAAAAUGUCGUGAAAAAUUAGGAAAAAUAGAGGAAAGUGGAAACCGGUAUAUAAAGCAAAACGCGGAAAACUAAGUAAAUACAAUUUGUUUUAUUGU